rnacentral:rRNA from 1 species
GCCAGAGCCACAUCAACCUUCAGUUCUCACCUGGUGUCCCACUGAAGCUAAGCAGGGUUGAGCCUGCCCAGUACCUGGACGGUAGACCUCCUGGGGAAAACUAAGGUUGGUGCUGGAA